rnacentral:rRNA from 1 species
UACGGGAUCCCGUCCGCUCUCCCAGAGUCAAGCCAAUGAGAGGCAGAUUAGUAGUUGAGUGGGUGACC